UACGUAGGGUGCGAGCGUUGUCCGGAAUUAUUGGGCGUAAAGAGCUCGUAGGCGGUCUGUCGCGUCGAUCGUGAAAACUAGGGGCUUAACCCUGAGCUUGCGGUCGAUACGGGCAUGACUGGAGUUCGGCAGGGGAGACUGGAAUUCCUGGUGUAGCGGUGAAAUGCGCAGAUAUCAGGAGGAACACCAGUGGCGAAGGCGGCUACCUGGACCAGCACUGACACUGAGGCACGAAAGCGUGGGGAGCAAACAGG
rnacentral:rRNA from 1 species